UACGGGGGGAGCAAGCGUUGUUCGGAUUUACUGGGCGUAAAGGGCGCGUAGGCGGUCAGCACAAGUCAGUUGUGAAAUCUCCGGGCUUAACUCGGAAAGGUCAACUGAUACUGUGCGACUAGAGUGCAGAAGGGGCAACUGGAAUUCUCGGUGUAGCGGUGAAAUGCGUAGAUAUCGAGAGGAACACCUGCGGCGAAGGCGGCUCACUGGCCCGGUACUGACGCUGAGGUGCGAAAGCGUGGGGAGCAAACAGG
rnacentral:rRNA from 1 species